GAUAUCCCAUUUCGGGAUUCAUUUCUAUAUUGUUUAUUUUCUGUUUUAUCUGUGCAUGUUGUCGUAAUGAUAGUUGAAAUAUCAAGAAGCUUGACUGAUCAGCAAACUAAGAUUCAAAAUGAUUUCACUCUUCUUUGAUUUAGUUUAUUGGUGAUACAUGUUUCAAGGUUUGAUAUUAUGACGUAGAUGUCUCUACAAGAUCGAUUACCAUAUGUUGUAGGCAAUUUGAUAUCUCCUUUCCGUCUAUUCACCAAGCAGAAGGAUGGGUUAUUUGGAUUUUCGAAAGAUUACUCUGAUUUAAAGCUCUAUCAUUCUAAAGAGAAUUGAAGUAAUGAGAGGUUUAUGGGCAGAAGGGUAUGCAGAGAUUAAACAAUAUUAAUUUGGAACAGCUCUAUACUUCUCUCUUUGAUGAUCCCAUGUUGGCAAAAUUUGGUUCCUCAAUCUGAUUUUUCGAGGAAAGCAUAUGGACAAGUUUCCAUUUGAUCGAGAUGUCUGGUAUAGCUUCUUUUCAUAUCAUGGUAGUGGAAAUGGAUAUUAGCAAAACUUAAGCAAAGUUUAAUGGCUAUUCUCCGAAACAC